rnacentral:rRNA from 1 species
UACGUAGGGGGCAAGCGUUGUCCGGAAUUAUUGGGCGUAAAGCGCGCGCAGGCGGUCCUUUAAGUCUGAUGUGAAAGCCUACGGCUCAACCGUGGAGGGUCAUUGGAAACUGGGGGACUUGAGUGCAGAAGAGGAAAGCGGAAUUCCACGUGUAGCGGUGAAAUGCGUAGAGAUGUGGAGGAACACCAGUGGCGAAGGCGGCUUUCUGGUCUGUAACUGACGCUGAGGCGCGAAAGCGUGGGGAGCAAACAGG